AUUCUUGGUCAUUUUAGAGGAAGUAAAAGUCGUAACAAGGUUUCCGUAGGUGAACCUGCGGAAGGAUCAUUAUUGAAUGAACUCGGCAGACUGUUGCUGGCCUCUCGGGGCAUCGUGCACGUCUGCCCUUGUUUUCUUCAUUCACCCCCACCUGUGCACAUUUUGUAGGUUUGGAUAACUCUCGAGGAGACUCGGUCCUAGAGGGGGGUUGUCAUUCAUGGCUGCCCCUCUACAUUUCCGGCCUACGUUUUUCAUAUACACCAUUGUAUGUCGCUGAAUGCUUUGAUUUGGGCCUUUGAAGGCCUAUAAACCUUUAUACAACUUUCAACAACGGAUCUCUUGGCUCUCGCAUCGAUGAAGAACGCAGCGAAAUGCGAUAAGUAAUGUGAAUUGCAGAAUUCAGUGAAUCAUCGAAUCUUUGAACGCACCUUGCGCUCCUUGGCAUUCCGAGGAGCAUGCCUGUUUGAGUGUCAUUAAAUUCUCAAUCCAUACGAUUUAUUUAUUUAUUUCACAUGGACUUGGAAUGUGGGAGCGUGCAGGCCCCUUGAAGGGAUCUGCUCUCCUUAAAUGCAUUAGUCGGACUUUUUGCAGCAGUCUGUGGUGUGAUAAUUAUCUACGCCCAGGAUGGUGCAGUCUUGCCGUCCAGCUUCCAAUGGGUCCAUUCAAUUGGACAGCUCAUUGACAAUUUGACCUCAAAUCAGGUAGGACUACCCGCUGAACUUAGCAUAUCAAUAAGCGGAGGAAAAGAAACUAACAAGGAUUCCCCUAGUAACUGCGGGUGAAGCGGGAAAAGCUCAAAUUUAAAAUCUGGCAGUCUUUGGCUGUCCGAGUUGUAAUCUAGAGAAGUGCCAUCCGCGCUGGACCGUGUACAAGUCUCCUGAAU
rnacentral:sRNA from 1 species